CAGAAUUUACUUUUUGGGGUGACAUUUUGCCCUUGGUUUAGCCUUUUAUCACUUUAGUUUACCUUUCAGAAUUUGUAAUAUCAACCUCUUUUAGGGCCUUCUUGGUAAAUCAAUGUUUACCCUCCCCAACACCUGUCACCAUCUUCAUCUUCUCUCUGUCUAUCCUUGUUCUCUGUAUCAUCUUUCCUUUGCUCCAAUAGAAGAAUCGUCUUCAAUUUCAUCGGUUAAUGGUUGGUUUGCCAUUAGAUUGUUCUACAAUUUUAGUAAAUAGACAAAAAUUUUGUUGACACAUGAAACUGCAAAAUCAAACCGUUUGAGUUUCUUCUAAUAUCUUUUUAAGUGUGGCAAAAUAGCUCAACAGGUUAGCCCUAUUUUACUGCUCAUGUGACAUCUUUUUCAGCUUAUCAAGUCUGAGAUAUUAAAAUAGCUUUGAAGGGGAUCCUCCAAAUUAGGGUACUUCUCUAGAGCCCCCAAGAAUCGCAGUAGAUAAAUCAGUGGAAUUUUCAUAUGAAGAACUUGCUAACAAAACCAACAACUUCAGUCUGUUUACUAUGCAGAGUUAAGAGGCGAGAAUGGCAAACAAACGAUCCAACAAGAAGCAUUAGGGGCAUUGGCUUCUUUAGCCCAAUCUGCUAAGGUAUUAAAUGGUGCAUUUAUUCCUGACCCAGUGCUAUUUCUACUUAAUAUAAUGAAUCAUUAAGGCUAAAUAUUAUGCAUCAGUAGGAGCACUGCGGAACCUACGGUAGAUUCUUUGUGAAAAUUUUUGAGGAGCUGACAUUAUUUAGUGUAAAGACUGACAAAAAGCUACAUUUCCUAGAAACAACGUUAAGCUCUUGCCUUUCCUGCUGCAAUUUUAUACCUGCAUGAUGGUGCCCAAGCUUUGCAGGUGAAUGUCAUGUAUUUGUUAUCUCUUUCGUCUACCUCUUCUUUUUUAUUAGAGAAUAAUGAAUUAUUUAACCUUCUUGUUUCAUUCUAUAUCAUGUAGUUCUUUUGGGAUAUUUAUCAUAUUCACGUGAAUGUGUUUGCUAUAAUCAGCCCAAUGAAUUUGGUAAUCAGUUUUUGAGCUCUUUAACUUUGUGGCAGAGGUUUUCAUCUUGGUUACUUGUCAAUGGCAUGACGUGGUAGGCAUAAAAGAGGCAGCCAAUUAUACCAAGUGUGGUAGCUUGUAAUUCUUCUGUGGAUCCCGCAGCAUUCCUAGCUGCUAUCGAAUCAGGAACUGUAAGGGUACAACUUCUCCACAUAAUUAUUUCUAUUUUAGUUCAUAGACAACAUAAUACAAAAUAGUUCAGCACUAUGAAUACAAACUACAUAACCUCAAAUACUGCUUCAUUAAGAGUUAACAAGUUCCUUUUUGUAAUUCAUCAUCAAGAAAAAGUUUUCUU